GACGAACGCUGGCGGCGUGCUUAACACAUGCAAGUCGAACGGAAAGGCCCUGCUCUUGUGGCGUGCUCGAGUGGGGAACGGGGGAGUAACACGCGAGUAACCCGUCCCUGACUUUGGGAUAACACCAGGGAACACGGGCUAAUACAGGGUAGAAGCUCUUGCACCACGGUGGGGGUAGGAAAAAGUCGGCGGUGGUGGCUGGACUCGCGGGUUACCAGCUUGUUGGGGUGGUAGGGGCUGACGAAGGUUUCGACGGAUAGCCGGCCUGGGAGCGUUACCGGCCACAUUGGGACUGAGAUACGGCCCAGACUCGAACCGGAGGCAGCAGGGGGGAGUCUUACGCAAUGACGGGAAGCCUGAGACAGCAACGCCGCGUGCGGAAUGCCGUCCUAUGGGUGGUGAACAGCUUUGGCCUGUAACGAAGCGUGCGUGACGGUAAUGGGUAAGGAAGCACCGGCUAACUACGUG
rnacentral:rRNA from 1 species